rnacentral:misc_RNA from 1 species
CUGGCAACCCAUGCAAAUUUCAAAGAGUUUGUCUUAACCGCUGGGUUGGAAUUCUAUCCUCUUGGGGGUGAUCCAGUAGUUUUGGCUGGAUAUAUGGUUAAAAAUAAGGGCUUCUUACCUUCUGCACCCUCAGAAAUUCCUGUUCAGAGAAAUCAAUUGAAGGAAAUUAUAAGUUCUCUACUCCCAGCUUGCGAAGAACCUGAUAUGGAUACUGGAG